UUUACUCUCUAUAUCUAUAUCUUUGUACUUUUAUUCUCGAUGUCGAUUGAAGCUUUGAAGUCACCCAUGGCGGCGGAGCUGUCACCCACGGUGGCGGAGCUACCACCGCUUGAAGAGAUUGAUGAUGAUUCACAUAAUUUGGAUUCGUGGGCGAAAGGUAAACGAUCGAAACGACCACGUAUUGAAAAUCCACCAACUAGAGAUCAGUAUUUAGCGCUCUGUUUACUCAUGCUCGCUAACGAUGACGGUACUGGAUUCGGGAAAGGAAAAGGAAACGGAACCGGUUCGAUUGGUGUUGAACAAACGGAGAAAAAACCGGCCGAGUUGAAGCCGGUUUUUAUUGAAGAGAAAACAGAGCAAUUACUGAAGCCG
rnacentral:misc_RNA from 1 species